rnacentral:tRNA from 13 species
GACUCGGUGGCACAACGGUAGCGCGUCUGACUCGAGAUCAGAAGGCUGCGUGUUCAAAUCACGUCCGGGUGA